UACGUAGGUGACAAGCGUUGUCCGGAUUUACUGGGCGUAAAGAGCGCGCAGGCGGUCGAUCAAGUCGAGUGUGAAAGCCCCCGGCUCAACUGGGGAGGGUCAUUCGAUACUGAUCGACUCGAAGGCAGGAGAGGGUAGUGGAAUUCCCGGUGUAGCGGUGAAAUGCGUAGAUAUUGGGAGGAACACCGGUGGCGAAGGCGGCUACCUGGACCGGUACUGACGCUGAGGCGCGAAAGCCAGGGGAGCAAACAGG
rnacentral:rRNA from 1 species